GGAGGGGUAGCAAAGCCUGGUCAAACGCGACAGACUCAAGAUCUGUUCCCUUUGUGGGUUCGAGGGUUCAAAUCCCUCCCCCUCCA
rnacentral:tRNA from 1 species